GAAAUCAAAACUAUAAAAUAGUUUCACCAAAGAAAACUUUUUUAUAUUUGUUCUUUAUAAGAGGAUUUGGUUUUAACAAUGAUGAUUAUGUUCUUUGGGAGGGAUUUUAUACAUGGUUAACUCUUAACUGCAGAUGCCAAAUGAACUUUAAAAAUGGACUUAACUAAUUUAGGUACAAAUGUACUGAAGAAUAGUUUUAUAUUUUAUCCAAUUGUAGUAACUUAAUCACUAAGUUAUUAUUAGUAAUCACAAAUGAGUAACUUUAUUUUCUUCAGUGAUGUUCUCUUAAAUUCAUACAAAAACAUGACUAUUUUUAGAGAAACUGAUUACAACAACUAUAAAAACCGGAAUUCUGGCAAGAUUAUUUCUCAGUGUUGGGGUAAGUUUGUGUGUGUGUGUGUGUGUGUGUGUGUGUGUGUAGAGAGAGAGAAAGGCAAAGAGAUAAAGUGUGAACAGGUAGGUAAGAAAGCAGAGAGGAGGGGACUGUGUUUUAGUUUGAUCUUUUGAUCUUACUCUCAUUUUCUUUAUCUUUUUUGGUCAUUAUGGGGCACAGAAAAAGAAUACAGGGUUUUAGGAUCCUUGACCAAAAUUAUAAAUCAACCAAAUGCCAAAAAGGCAAUGUAGUAACACAGUAAGUUGCUAUUCAUAGCACCUUUUGCCAAGUGAUUUCAUAGCACUUUCAACAUUAAUACAACUAUUUUUGCUUUUGUAACCGGGAAAACUAGGGCAAAGAAAAUUUGAUAUCCAGUGAAUUAACCAUCAGAACAAGGGAACAGAAUGCAGGGCUAUGAGCCUGCUUUUUGUUUCAGUUCAUGCACAGUUUAGUCUCAGACAUAAACCUAGCUAAGAUUAACUUUUGAAUUUCAGCAGUUAAAAGUCACCAUUAACAAUUUUGUUUUCCCUUCAAAUAAAACAAAGUAAAACAAAAAAAGACUAAACAGAAUCGUUGUCAAUUCACUGGUGUGUUAUUGGUUUCAGCCAUGAAUGCCUUCAAUGGCAUCUACCUGGAGCUAAAACAAAGUAUUCUUGUAGCCCAAAGUCAUGAAAUGAAAACAAAGCAUCUUUUAUAACAUGGUGUGAAGUAAGUAUCCAGCAAACGUGAGAGGUGAACCCACAUAAAUCAGAAGGAAUUUGUUAACAAAGACAGAGAACAAAAUUUUUAAAAAUCUGUUUUCACAUUGUACAUAAUAAUGAUAUAAAAACAAGUGUCUAGUUUUUCCUUAUCCAGAGUGCUUAAAAACAAAACAAACAAAAACAAAAACAAAAAUUGGCUCUAGAUGACUGUGGCAAUUAAAUAACUGAGUGAUGAGAGCAUAAGUUAGUUAAGAUUGAACACAACCCUCCUAUGAAUUCACUCCUUUGUUUUAAACAUCAGAACAGAUAUUGUUGGGGCCAAAAUUCUUAAAAAGGAGAAAACUUAUGGAAGGAGAAGUAAAAUUGUGUGGGUAAAUGUGUGUGUGUGUAUGUGUGUAUGUAUGUGUAUAUAUAUAUAUGCACACACACAUAUAUAUACAUAUACAUACAUAUAUGAAUUGGAGAUGGAAAUUUGUUUUAAAUAUCUAACAGCUUAUUGGCUGCACUUCCAAAUCGGAGCAGAAUAAAAUAGAAGGGGAGAAAUAAAAUAAAUUAUACAUAACUUACUAAUCUGGGAACAGCUGACCAUUAUUAUUAUUACUAUUAUUAUUAUUUUAUCAUCAUCAUCAUUAUUACAACACUAGCAAAAAGAGGCAGUUCAAAUGAAAAUAAAGUCAUCAAAAACAGGAAAAACAAACAUAACGAAAUCUCUGACAUGCAGGAUAUGAUCAGCUCCUCCAAGCAAAACCCCAGAGCAAGUCUUUUGAGAGAGAGAAAAAUAAAAGAAAUUUUUUUUUAUUUAUAUGAAAAAUCCAACUUUAGGGUGGUGUUUAGUGGGGGUGGAAUAGGAAAAUGAUGACUGGAGUGAAAACUAUAGCACAUUGAGCUACUAGUUGCAGUAUUUACUAUCUGAUACUUCAAUACAAAUAAUGGCAAUUGACUUGAAAUGAUUUUGCAUUUAUUUGUACAGGCCCUACAACUGCCUUGGCAUUUGGCUGGCAAAAUCUACAUAAGCAGUCCCAUCACAUUCAGUUGUUGCUCUUCACAAAUACUCUGCUCAAACCAAAGAUGGACUUCAGUGGAUUCAUCUGACAGCAAGGGAAGAGCAGUGGCAAGGAUCCCUGGGUGCAGCCAGGCUCCAUUUUGUUGGGCUGCAAUGACUUUUAAUUAAAUACUACUUUUUAUGGCAUGAACUACACAUGGCCCACACUUCUGAAAUGCUAAAGGCCUCCACCUCAUUUCAUGGAGGGGUGAAAAAUACCUUAUAAAAUCAUCAGUUUCAUUUCCUGAUCAGGAAAGGAUGGAAUGUUGAAGAAAUAAGCUAAU